rnacentral:piRNA from 1 species
UCUGUGCAUAGCCCAUUGCCCCACACA